rnacentral:lncRNA from 1 species
CAGUGUUUCGGUUUUAAAAACACGCUUGGAAGACUAGGUGCUACCCACCCUCAGUACGUGACCUCCACUUUUGGGAAGAGGCUAAUUCUCAUUGGGAAAAUACUAUUUAAGCUCAUCUUCUUCUGCCUUCUCUUCAUUCACCAGAACACUUUAAGUGGCAGACGUUCUCUUCAGGAGCAGAGGAGACACAGCCAGACUCUAGAAGAUGGUUCUUGUUUGCUGGGGAGGCAGACGACUCAAUGGACCUUGACAUUCAGCCUGACAAGCUCUUUACUGGGCAUGCACAGAUGGUUCAGCCGCUCCAUCUGAUGUAGAGAGAUCCUUGAGACACUGCUCCUACCCCAAAGUCCAGCAGAUUGGCAGCUCUUACUUCCGGAAAUGCAGGAGCAUCAACCUCGAUGUUGGUAGAGCUUACCUCUGUAUGAUCAAGAAACCAAGAGUCAGAAAGUUCCUGUUACUCUCCCAGCAACACACAGCUAGAAAGGGAUGCGGCAACGUUUGAAUCCAGCUGCCAUCCACCAAGCAGGCUUCCCAAGGAGUUUCCUCAGCUUCUGCCAAGGCACAGUCAGCCAGCCCUGGGUGUUCCCCUGGACUCCUGUCGGAACCUUUUGUUGCUGUGUGUAGCGCUUGCACUCAUGGCAGACCCUGAGGGUGAAGGCCGUGUUUCAUGCCGUCAGCAGCACUGGCACAUUCCAUGUCACGUCCAUUACAGAGUGGAAUGACAGCAGCUGCCAUUUGCCGGGUCUGGCACAGCACCAAAUGCUUUAUGUCUAUGAUCUCACUUAAUCUCUACAUGAGGCAGAGGCCACCGAUGAGGAAAGAGAGCCCGAGAGAAGAGAAAUGAUGGGGCCAUGCUCCCAUAAAUGCUGGAGAUGUGGCUUUAAUUCUGGCUUCUCUACUUACUGGUUACAUCACAAUCCAUUUAGUAUCUUGGAGCCUUAGUUUUGUCAUCUGUGUAAUGAGUGUGACAAUCGAUAUUUC